rfam:Nicotiana sylvestris Nsyl_contig105149, whole genome shotgun sequence.
GUGUUGGUUAAAUGGAGAUGGUUGGAUCUCCCUUGACAGGGACAGGAACAGCUUUCGGGCUUUACCUGUUACCAGAUUUUGUUGAUCUUACCCAAUUUUGU